GGUUAAGUUAAUAAGGGCACACGGUGGAUGCCUUGGCGUUAGGAGCCGAAGAAGGACGCAGCGAACUGCGAUAAGCCUCGGGGAGUGGUAAGCACACUUUGAUCCGGGGAUUUCCGAAUGGGGGAACCCACCAUCUGUAAUGGGAUGGUAUCCUUCACUGAAUACAUAGGUGAUGAGAGGGCAGACCCGGUGAACUGAAACAUCUAAGUAGCCGGAGGAAGAGAAAACAAUAGUGAUUC
rnacentral:rRNA from 1 species